CGGCGUGCCUAAUACAUGCAAGUCGAGCGGACAGAAGGGAGCUUGCUCCCGGAUGUUAGCGGCGGACGGGUGAGUAACACGUGGGUAACCUGCCUGUAAGACUGGGAUAACUCCGGGAAACCGGAGCUAAUACCGGAUAGUUCCUUGAACCGCAUGGUUCAAGGAUGAAAGACGGUUUCGGCUGUCACUUACAGAUGGACCCGCGGCGCAUUAGCUAGUUGGUGGGGUAAUGGCUCACCAAGGCGACGAUGCGUAGCCGACCUGAGAGGGUGAUCGGCCACACUGGGACUGAGACACGGCCCAGACUCCUACGGGAGGCAGCAGUAGGGAAUCUUCCGCAAUGGACGAAAGUCUGACGGAGCAACGCCGCGUGAGUGAUGAAGGUUUUCGGAUCGUAAAGCUCUGUUGUUAGGGAAGAACAAGUGCGAGAGUAACUGCUCGCACCUUGACGGUACCUAACCAGAAAGCCACGGGCUAACU
rnacentral:rRNA from 1 species